rnacentral:rRNA from 1 species
GAUGAACGCUGGCGGCGUGCCUAAUACAUGCAAGUCGAGCGAACAGACGAGGAGCUUGCUCCUCUGACGUUAGCGGCGGACGGGUGAGUAACACGUGGAUAACCUACCUAUAAGACUAGGAUAACUUCGGGAAACCGGAGCUAAUACCGGAUAAUAUAUUGAACCGCAUGGUUCAAUAGUGAAAGACGGUUUUGCUGUCACUUAUAGAUGGAUCCGCGCCGCAUUAGCUAGUUGGUAAGGUAACGGCUUACCAAGGCAACGAUGCGUAGCCGACCUGAGGGGGUGAUCGGCCACACUGGAACUGAGACACGGUCCAGACUCCUACGGGAGGCAGCAGUAGGGAAUCUUCCGCAAUGGGCGAAAGCCUGACGGAGCAACGCCGCGUGAGUGAUGAAGGUCUUCGGAUCGUAAAACUCUGUUAUUAGGGAAGAACAAAUGUGUAAGUAACUAUGCACGUCUUGACGGUACCUAAUCAGAAAGCCACGGCUAACUACGUG